rnacentral:rRNA from 1 species
GGAGGGUGCAAGCGUUAAUCGGGAAUUACUGGGGCGUAAAGCGAGUGUAGGCGGCUGCAUAAGUCGGAUGUGAAAGCCCUGGGCUUAACCUGGGAAUGGCAUUCGAUACUGUGCAGCUAGAGUCUGAUAGAGGGAAGUGGAAUUCCGGGUGUAGCGGUGAAAUGCGUAGAGAUCCGGAGGAACACCAGUGGCGAAGGCGGCUUCCUGGAUUAAGACUGACGCUGAGGCUCGAAAGCGUGGGGAGCAAACAGGAUUAGAUACCCUGGUAGUCCACGCCCUAAACGAUGUCAACUAGACGUUGGGCUCAUUUCGGAGUCUAGUGUCGAAGCUAACGCGUUAAGUUGACCGCCUGGGGAGUACGGCCGCAAGGUUG